rnacentral:snoRNA from 1 species
CUGCAGCCAAUUAAACCGACUGGCCCCCUCUCCUUGUGGGGGCCCGAUGUGCAGUGGCUGCAGACAGCAGCCUCUUUGGUAGUGUAUGUGCCCUGUUGCCUGUAUGGGUUGCCCUAAUAAGGGACCUUGGAGACAGUC